rnacentral:rRNA from 1 species
AUUGAACGCUGGCGGCAGGCCUAACACAUGCAAGUCGAGCGGAUGAAGGGAGCUUGCUCCUGGCUUCAGCGGCGGACGGGCGAGUAAUGCCUAGGAAUCUGCCUGGUAGUGGGGGAUAACGUCAGGAAACGGGCGCUAAUACCGCAUACGUCCUGAGGGAGAAAGUGGGGGAUCUUCGGACCUCACGCUAUCAGAUGAGCCUAGGUCGGAUUAGCUAGUUGGUGGGGUAAAGGCCUACCAAGGCGACGAUCCGUAACUGGUCUGAGAGGCUGAUCAGUCACACUGGAACUGAGACACGGUCCAGACUCCUACGGGAGGCAGCAGUGGGGAAUAUUGGACAAUGGGCGAAAGCCUGAUCCAGCCAUGCCGCGUGUGUGAAGAAGGUCUUCGGAUCGUAAAGCACUUUAAGUUGGGAGGAAGGACAGUAAGUUAAAACCUUGCUGUUUUGACGGUACCAACAGAAUAAGCACCGGCUAACUUCGUG